rnacentral:lncRNA from 1 species
AUAAGUUUGGGAGGUCCUGAUGCCAACACUCCUGGCUACCUUCAGAUCAAGAUGUAGACUUGUCAGUUCCUUCUCCAAUACCACGUCUGCCUGCAAAAGUAACAGAAAGACCAGACAUGAGAUGGAGUUAUCCUACUACAGAAGUAGCAUCAGGUCAGAGUUGCUGACCUGGAGGCCAUGAGGUCCCAGAGGUAUAGCCACAAGACUCCUUUAAUUUUUUCCUAAACUGUAAGACUUAUAAAGUCUAGGUUCCCUCCUCUCCGAAGACUCUAACUUGUGUUAAGCUGAUAUAAAACUAGCCAGCACAACUAAGAAAGAAGAUACAAUUGGUCUAAACAUUCAACCCAGAAAGCUGGAGAAAGGUCAGAAGUUCUCUUUCCAGCCGGACCCUGGCCUUAUGUCAGGGAAGGAGUGCUGCAGAGGUUUGUAAACAGUAGGAUAUGACAUUUAGUAAACAGUAUGUAAGCAGUAGAAUAUGAAACUGAUGUAUUUGGAGAAAAAUAAGGUACUCCCUAUUAAAAUUUUAAAUAGC